AUUGAACGCUGGCGACAUGCCUUACACAUGCAAGUCGAACGGCAGCACGGGUGCUUGCACCUGGUGGCGAGUGGCGAACGGGUGAGUAAUACAUCGGAACAUGUCCUGUAGUGGGGGAUAGCCCGGCGAAAGCCGGAUUAAUACCGCAUACGAUCUACGGAUGAAAGCGGGGGACCUUCGGGCCUCGCGCUAUAGGGUUGGCCGAUGGCUGAUUAGCUAGUUGGUGGGGUAAAGGCCUACCAAGGCGACGAUCAGUAGCUGGUCUGAGAGGACGACCAGCCACACUGGGACUGAGACACGGCCCAGACUCCUACGGGAGGCAGCAGUGGGGAAUUUUGGACAAUGGGCGAAAGCCUGAUCCAGCAAUGCCGCGUGUGUGAAGAAGGCCUUCGGGUUGUAAAGCACUUUUGUCCGGAAAGAAAUCCUUGGCCCUAAUACGGUCGGGGGAUGACGGUACCGGAAGAAUAAGUACCGGCUAACUACGU
rnacentral:rRNA from 1 species